GCAUAAUGACAUCAACCUACAGACUAGGUUACCAAGUAAACCAGGCUGACCUCAAGCUUUUCCUUCUCCUUCCCGGUCAUUCACUGAUGGGAUACAUAAUGACUUGGAAGUGGACACUCACUGCUUACUUUUUUGAGAGGAGGAAAGCAAAUGUGUGUACAAACUCGACUCUAAAAGCCAGAAGAUCCUGGAAAGAUGUCUUGCAGACCCUAAGAGACCACAGAUGCCAGCUGAGACUAUUAUACCAAGCAAUACUUUCAUUCACCAAAAAUGGAGAAACCAAGAUAUUCCAGGACAAAGGCAAAUUUCACAGUUUCUUCCUACUGAUCUAGCCUUAUGGAGAUACUAAGAGGAAAACUCCAAGACAAGGAGGGUAACCACACCCAAGAAAACACAGAAUCAUCUCACAGUAAAACUGAAAGAAGAGGAUCAGACACACCAACAUCAAAGUAACAGGAAGUAACAAUCAUUGUUCAUUAAUAUCUCUCAAUAUCGAUGCACUCGGUUCACCAAUAAAAAGACACAGACUAACAGACAGGAUACAUGAUAAACAGGAUUCAUCACUCUGCUGCAUGCAAGAAACAAACAUCACCAAUAAAGAUAGACACUACCUCAGAAUAAAGGGCCAGAAAAAGGUUUUCUAAACAAAUGGACCCAAGAAACAGGCUGGAAUAGCCAUUCUAAUAUCUAAUAAAAUAGACUUUUUUUCCCUUUUAUUUUUUUU
ensembl:lncRNA